rnacentral:pre_miRNA from 1 species
AGUGGGAUAACUGGGUCAAAUGGUGGUUUCAUUUCAAGAUUUCUGAGGAAUCUCCAGACUGCUUUCUAUAGUGGCUGCACCAUUUUCAGUCCCACCAGCAGU